rnacentral:rRNA from 1 species
AGAGUUUGAUCCUGGCUCAGAUUGAACGCUGGCGGCAUGCUUUACACAUGCAAGUCGAACGGUAACAGGGGAGCUUGCUCCCGCUGACGAGUGGCGAACGGGUGAGUAAUGCAUCGGAACGUGCCGAAUAGUGGGGGAUAACGCACCGAAAGGUGUGCUAAUACCGCAUACGCCCUGAGGGGGAAAGUGGGGGGCCGCAAGGCCUCACGCUAAUCGAGCGGCCGAUGUCGGAUUAGCUAGUUGGUGGGGUAAAGGCUCACCAAGGCGACGAUCCGUAGCGGGUCUGAGAGGAUGAUCCGCCACACUGGGACUGAGACACGGCCCAGACUCCUACGGGAGGCAGCAGUGGGGAAUUUUGGACAAUGGGGGAAACCCUGAUCCAGCCAUGCCGCGUGUCUGAAGAAGGCCUUCGGGUUGUAAAGGACUUUUGUCCGGGAGGAAACCCUGAUCGUUAAUAGCGGUCGGGACUGACAGUACCGGAAGAAUAAGCACCGGCUAACUACGUGCCAGCAGCCGCGGUAAU